rnacentral:snRNA from 1 species
GUGCUUGCACAUAUACCAAAAUUGGAACGAUACAGAGAAGAUUAGUAUGGCCGCUGCACAAGGAUGACAUGCAAAUUCAUGAAGCGUUCCAUAUUUCC